rnacentral:rRNA from 2 species
UGAGGAAUAUUGGUCAAUGGGCGAGAGCCUGAACCAGCCAAGUCGCGUGAGGGAAGACGGUCCUAUGGAUUGUAAACCUCUUUUGUCGGGGAGCAACGAGGCCACGUGUGGCCGCAGAGAGAGUACCCGAAGAAAAAGCAUCGGCUAACUCCGUGCCAGCAGCCGCGGUAAUACGGAGGAUGCGAGCGUUAUCCGGAUUUAUUGGGUUUAAAGGGUGCGUAGGCGGAAGGUUAAGUCAGUGGUCAAACUGCGGAGCUCAACUCCGUAUCGCCAUUGAAACUGGUCUUCUUGAGUGAGUGAGAAGUAUGCGGAAUGCGUGGUGUAGCGGUGAAAUGCAUAGAUAUCACGCAGAACUCCGAUUGCGAAGGCAGCAUACCGGCACUCAACUGACGCUGAAGCACGAAAGCGUGGGUAUCGAACAGG